UUUGUGAACUUUGCCAUUUCCCGUGUACUACUAUUUAAUUUUUAUGCGACAAUUCUUGACUUAUAAAGAUAUUUUUCGCUGGAAUUUACUGAUUAUCAAAGUUAUGUGAUUCGCUAUGGUGGAGUUGACCUGCAGUGCGUCGAAUAAAACGUCUCUCAGUCAUUUUGAAAUUCAAAUUACAGUAACACAUUGCGUAGGCUGAGGAUGAUAAUCAUGACACCUUCAAAGCAACACAGGAUUUAGCAAGAAC
rnacentral:lncRNA from 1 species